ACGGGUGAGUAAUACCUAGGAAUCUGCCUGGUAGUGGGGGACAACGUCUCGAAAGGGACGCUAAUACCGCAUACGUCCUACGGGAGAAAGCAGGGGACCUUCGGGCCUUGCGCUAUCAGAUGAGCCUAGGUCGGAUUAGCUAGUUGGUGAGGUAAUGGCUCACCAAGGCGACGAUCCGUAACUGGUCUGAGAGGAUGAUCAGUCACACUGGAACUGAGACACGGUCCAGACUCCUACGGGAGGCAGCAGUGGGGAAUAUUGGACAAUGGGCGAAAGCCUGAUCCAGCCAUGCCGCGUGUGUGAAGAAGGUCUUCGGAUUGUAAAGCACUUUAAGUUGGGAGGAAGGGUUGUAGAUUAAUACUCUGCAAUUUUGACGUUACCGACAGAAUAAGCACCGGCUAACUCUGUGCCAGCAGCCGCGGUAAUACAGAGGGUGCAAGCGUUAAUCGGAAUUACUGGGCGUAAAGCGCGCGUAGGUGGUUUGUUAAGUUGGAUGUGAAAGCCCCGGGCUCAACCUGGGAACUGCAUUCAAAACUGACAAGCUAGAGUAUGGUAGAGGGUGGUGGAAUUUCCUGUGUAGCGG
rnacentral:rRNA from 1 species